CCGACCUUAGCUCAGUUGGUAGAGCGGAGGACUGUAGUGGGACCUACCCCCUUGGUCAUCCUUAGGUCGCUGGUUCGAAUCCGGCAGGUCGGA
rnacentral:tRNA from 1 species